CAGCUCCUCAGCUUUCAGCCAGGGCAGAGGAGGGCAGAGUGUUGGCCGUCUGUUCUCGUUCCCAGGAUGGAUUCACUGUGCUGAACUUUACCCCUGUGGCUUCUCUCAAAAUGCCAGUUACCGCUCCACCUCCCCCUGUCGUCUGCCAGCCGCCAUGCCAAUCCAAACACACUGGGCCUCUCCAGACUGAUCCAGAGCAUGAUUUCAGAAAGAAGAGAACCCUUUCCCCUUAUUUUUCCUCCUUCUCAUGCCCAAACUCUCCCACCCUUUCCUCCCCCCCUCUCCCUCUCCCUCUGUCUCACUGUGUCUUCCAAAGAGUAACGUUCAGGGAGAGCUGAGCAGAGCAGAAGGGAGAGGGAAGGAAACGAAAGGGGGGGAGCAGGGGAGGGAUGGAUGGAUGGA